CGGACGGGUGAGUAAUGUCUGGGAAACUGCCCGAAGGGGGGAAUAAACUACUAGAAACGGUAGCUAAUACCGCAUAACGUCGCAAGACCAAAGAGGGGGACCUUCGGGCCUCUUGCCAUCGGAUGUGCCCAGAUGGGAUUAGCUAGUAGGUGGGGUAACGGCUCACCUAGGCGACGAUCCCUAGCUGGUCUGAGAGGAUGACCAGCCACACUGGAACUGAGACACGGUCCAG
rnacentral:rRNA from 1 species